UUUUAGUUAAUUAAGCUAAUUUUAAACAUAGCUAGUCAUAAAGGCCCAAGUUUCUAGCCCAUACCUUAAGCUCAAUAUCCAAUACCCAUUAAGCUAACCCUAGGGACCCUUCUAGACUCUUCUUUGGAAUAAAAAAUAAAUAAAAAGACCCUAAAGACUUAACACAAAAAGACCUAGGGACUAAUUGGCAAACUACACAAAAAAUAACCUAAACCUAGCCCUAUACACUAAAGAUUUAGAGAGUAGCGUCAUUUUCAUGGGAGGAGAUGGACAGCUCUAAAAAAGGGAACGACGGCCUUCAUCAAAAUAGGGGCAGCACCCCAAUUUCCCAUUUCCAAAAGAAAAAUCCCUUUACGUAUACUAAAAAGUAGCUACACCCUUAGGGAUCGAUGAUCUCUUUUUCCAUUCUGUGAAGGAAAUUCAAUUCGGAAAUACCUUGGACAUUCCUCUAACAUUGUCACACUACUUUGGGUACUGAAGAGUGCAAAGGAAAAGUGCCUGCAAAGGUUUGUUCAUAUGUCUACUGAUUUGGCUAGGCAAAUUGGAAUAUGACUUGAUGCAUUCAAAAUACAAUUUAUAGCAAAAUAGCUAGGGAAAAGAGAAGGCGUGAUGGAGUUUGAGUGAGGUCGCUUUGGUUUCGAGUUUUCGGGUGUCGAUUCGAGAUUCCAUCCGGGUUCGCGUUUGAGUUUUCUGUCGAUUUGAGUUCCGAUUGUAACUGUGUUCUGUUUUGGUCCGUGUAAUUGUUAGACGACUUCAUCAAUUGAAAAUUCCAAUUUUCAGGUAUUUUCCCAACCAUUGUCAACGAGUGUUUAGGAACAUGUACUUCGAGUUGAAGCCUGAUUGAAUACAAGUCAUUCUGAGUUUCAUUUCAUCUGUUUUUCCUAUGUCUCUGAUGUUCUGUAAUAGACCUAGUAUUAUAUAUGCUAGUUUAGUUGUCUUAUGUCGUUUAGUAUGCUGUAGGAAUGAAUCUGUGCUCCUUAAGAAUUUGGGGUGUUGAUUUUUCUGGAUUCAAGUCAAUGAUGUUAAUUUCCUAGAUGUUGUUACUGUUGAUAAUGAGAAAGAGUUGAGUGAGUUAAGUUCAA